UACGGAGGGUGCAAGCGUUAUCCGGAUUCACUGGGUUUAAAGGGUGCGUAGGCGGGUGUGUAAGUCCGUGGUGAAAUCUCCGAGCUUAACUCGGAAACUGCCAUGGGUACUGCAUGUCUUGAAUGUUGUGGAGGUGAGCGGAAUAUGUCAUGUAGCGGUGAAAUGCUUAGAUAUGACAUAGAACACCAAUUGCGAAGGCAGCUCACUACACAAAUAUUGACGCUGAGGCACGAAAGCGUGGGGAUCAAACAGG
rnacentral:rRNA from 1 species